GCAAAUAUAGCUCUUUUCAUCAUUUCUUCACAUGUACCUACUGUAGCAUUCAAGUAAUGCCCUUUGAUUUCACCUGUUUCAGUCUGUGCUUUAAAAAGUGCUUCGGCACAAAAUAAGAAACUAUCUCUCCAAUGCAUAUAUGGUUGUGAGUUCACGUUCUCAUCAUCUUUGGUAAAAUCAAGUCCACCGUAAAGACAUUCAUAAACAGCUCUACCGUAGUUUUUAGCAGAUAACCCCAAUUUAGGUUUAAUAGUACAUCCCAACAGGGGACGACCGUACUUGUUCAAUUUAUCUGUUUCAACUUGGAUCCUAUGAGGCGGACCUUGGAAAGCUUUAAUAUAAGUAGUAGGGACUCGCAGAUCUUCUAGACGUAGAGCACACAGGGCUUUGAACCUAAAUACAUUACCUACAAUGGAAGUAAACAUGUUGGUAACGGAACCUUCUUCAAAAAGGUCUAAAGGGUAAGCUACAUAAGCAAUAUAUUGAUGUUUUACUCCAAUAACACGCUCGAUGCGGUAGCAUCACCCUUUGUAACGAUCAAGACUAGUAAGUCCAUCGGUCCAUACAGUUGUCCAUGUACCAGUAGAUGAUUUGGCAGCUACCGCGGCCCCUGCUUCUUUAGGUGGAACUCCAGGUUGAGGAAUUACUCGGAAUGCUGUCAAUAUAUCAGUAUCCUUGGUUUGGUACUCAGGAGUCUAAUAAGUUAAUUUGUACUCUUUAACACCAGCUGUGAAUCCAACACUUGCUUUAGUCUCUAUUUGUGGUGACAUAAAUCCCUCCCUACAACUCAUGAAUUAAGAAUUCUCACAACAACAAGGUCUACUCGACACGAAUUACGCGUUAAUGAAACUUUUCACAGGAAUCUUUCAGAAAAUUUCCAACUAAUACUAAUAUUAUCAAUUAAUCAGAAUGGUUGAUUAUUAGACCAUGGUAUUUGAUUUGCCAAAUACAUCAUUAUUGUAUACUCUUUCAUAUAUAUAGCGCAACCCAAUUUUGAUUUUUUACCUUUUUUUUUGAAAUGGAAAUACCUAACUAAACUAAAUAAUAAGAACUUCCCCCUUGACAGUGGUAUAUGUUGUAUAUGUAAAUCCUAAAUGUGAAAAUAUAUGGAAUUCCGCUAUGAAAGGUAUAAAAAAGAAAGAAAAACGCAAAGAAAAGAAUAGGCUAGGCAUAAAUCAAUAUGCUGAAAUUUAACUAAAAAAUAAAUAAGAAAAAUAAGAAGAGGAGCCCAUUAGAUCCAAAUAGUGAAUCGUAAUAGAAAUAUAAAAUAAAGUUCAGGUUCGAAUUCCAUAGAAUAGAUAAUAUGGAUGGGAUUGUCUAUAAUGAUAGACAAAUGAAAGACUUUCUCAAGAUUCUGAUUCAUCCACUUGAGAUUUUUAAAUUAAAAUAGGUUGGGUGAGCUUGCAAAUUAACUCAAUCUCAUUGAAUAAGUAAACAAUUGAAUUGGUUCAAUUGCAUGGUGCCAACGAAAUUGAGUGCUAAUUCCCAUUUUAUUGAAUUAACCGAUCGACGUACUAGCGGACAUUUACUUUGAAUUCGAUAAUUUUUGAAAAAACAUUUUGACAUAUUUAUUUAUUUUAUUAUUAUAAGAAUCAAUCCUACUAAUUAUGGUUCUGGGGUUUCCACACUUGAAAAAAAAAACUGGGGUGUGUCGUCCAAAUCAUCGGUCUGGUACUAGAUGUAGCCUUUCCUCCGGGCAAGAUGCCAAAUAUUUAUAACGCUCUCGUAGUUCAAGGGCGAGAUAGUAUUGGUAAACCAAUUAAUAUGGCUUGUGAGGUACAACAAUCAUUAGGAAAUAAUCAAGUUAGAGUUGUAGCUAUGAGUGCUACAGACGGUUUAAUGAGAAAAAUGGAAGUGAUUGACACAGAAGCUCCUAUAAGUGUUCCGAUCGGAGGGGCAACUCUGGGAUGAAUUUUUAACGUGCUCGGAGAGAUGUUGUUAAUUUAAGGCCUGUAGAUACCAGUACAACAUCUCCUAUUCAUAGAUCUACGCCCGCCUUUAUACAGUUGGAUACAAAAUUAUCUAUUUUUCAAACAGGAAUUAAAGUAGUAGAUCUUUUAGGCCCUUAGCGUCGUGGAGGAAAAAUUGAACUAUUCAGGGGAGAUGGAGUGGGUAAAACAGUACUCAUUAUGGAAUUGAUUAACAAUAUUGCUAAAUCUCACGGGGGCGUAUCUGUAUUUGGCGGAGUGGGUGAACGUACUCAGGAAGGAAAUGAUCUUUACACGAAAAUGAAAGAAUCUGGAGUGAUUAAAGAAAAAAAUAUUGCGGAAUCAAAAGUGGCCGUAGUUUAUAGUCAGAUGAAUGAACCACCAGGAGCUCGUAUGAGAGUUGGUUUGACUGGCCUAACUAUGGCGGAAUAUUUCUGAGAUGUUAAUGAGCAAGAUGUACUUCUAUUUAUUGACAAUAUCUUCCGUUUCGUCCAAGCAGGAUCCAAAGUAUCAGCCUUAUUGGGUAGAAUGCCUUCCGCUGUGGGUUAUCAACCGACCCUAAGUACUGAAAUGGGUUCUUUACAAGAAAGAAUUACUUCUACCAAAGAAGGGUCCAUAACCUCUAUUCAAGCAAUUUAUGCACCCGCAGACGAUUUGACCGACCCUGCUCCUGCUAAGACAUUUGCACAUUUAGAUUCUACUACCAUACUAUCAAGAGGAUUGGCUGCCAAAGGUAUUUAUCCAGCAAUAGAUCCUUUAGAUUCAACAUCAACCAUGCUUCAACCUCAGAUCAUUGGUGAGAAACAUUACGAAACCGCCCAACGAGUUAAGCAAACUUUACAACGUUACAAAGAAAUUCAGGACAUUAUAGCUAUCCUUGGAUUGGAUGAAUUAUCUGAAGAGGAUCAUUUACUCGUAGCAAGAGCAUAAAAAAUUGAGCGUUUGUUAUCACAACCCUUUUUCAUAGCAGAAGUAUUUACUGGUUCUCUAGGGAAAUAUGUUGGUCUAGCAAAAACAAUUUGAGGAUUUCAAUUGAUCCUUUCCGAAGAAUUAGAUGGUCUUCCUGAACAGGCUUUUUAUUUGGUAGGUAAUAUCGAUGAAGCUACCGUGAAGGCUAUGAACUUAGAAAUGGAGAGCAAUUUGAAGAAAUAACCUUAAAUCUUAGUGUACUGACUCCUAAUCGAAUUGUUUGGGAUUCAGAAGUGGAAGAAAUCGUGCUAUAUACUAAUAGUGGUAAAAUUAGCAUAUUACCAAAUCACGCCCCUAUUGCCACAGUUGUAGAUAUAGGGAUUUUGCGAAUACGCCUUAACAACCAAUGGUUAACGAUGGCUCUGAUGGGUGCUUUUACUAGACUAGGCAAUAAUGAGAUCACUGUUUUAGUAAAUGAUGCAGAUAAGGGUAGUGACAUUGAUCCACAAGAAGCUCAGCAAACUCUUGAAAUAGCGGAGGCUAAUGUGAAAAAGGCUGAAGGAAGGAGACAAUAAAUUAAGGCAAAUCUAGCUCUCCGAAGAGCUAGAACACGGGUGGAGGCUAUCAAUCUGAUUUCAUAACAAGUUAGUACGACUAGUUAGUACAUUCGAAUAAUAAAAAGAAGUUCUUUUUCUAAUCCUAUUUAGAUUCUGUCGGGUGAAUACAAUCAAAUACAAUCAAACAGAAGCCAAUUCUGAUGCAAAAAUUCAAAUUUAAAAAUGAAAUAGAAAAGAUACAAAAUCAAAAAAUAAAUAUCACUAAAGGUGGGUUGUAACCCAUAUUAGAUACCAUUGACUCUGGUAUCUAAUAAGUUUUACCUACUAUUAGAUUUGAACCAAUGACUCCCUCCGUAUGAAAGCAGUACUCUAACCACUGAGUUAAGUAGGUCAUUUAUCAUUCCAAAGAGAACCAAACGAAACCCAUCCUGUCGAUGGAUUAUAAAUAUCAUAUUACUUAUAAGCAAUACUAAUCUAAUAAGCAAUACUAAUCUAAGGAAUACCACUCAAAGAGAUCAAAGAUUGUUGAUGUUGGAUCAUGGAAUAUUUAUCUUGACAAGAAUUUAUCUACAUGAUAAAAUAUGUAUCACAAGCACUAAGGGCUAUAGCUCAGUUGGUAGAGCAACUCGUUUACACGCGCGCCAAUGUUUUUCAAGGGAGUUCAUCAUACAAUCAGAAAAAUCGAUCUUGUUGAGAAAUCGAUGUCUUACUCCAUAACUUUGAGGGAACCAUAGCCUGACAAAGGGUUCGGUCCAAUUUGGACGUCCAUUUAGGAGGUGCCAAACAGACCCCAUCAUUGAUUUGAGAUCUUGAUAAGGUGAAUACCCAGUCUAUUCAAUGCUAGGCAUAAUGAGAGUAUAAGGACCUCAAAAAAAUCUCUUUUCGUCAUAUGAACUUUAAGGUGUAUGAAGUUUCAUAUUUGAUUUUUUAAGCAGAAACGAUAGAGACUUCAUUUAACUUAGGUUUAUUUACGCCAGAGAUAGACCUACGUCAAGAUAAUCCCACCUUUGAAACACUUUAGUAAUGCUCCCAAAUAAUGAAUCAGAGCAUGUGGAGCCAUUUCCAAAGUAAGUUACUUCUUCUCAGUACUUCAACUGAGAUAAUGAAAAAUUAUUUCACCUUUUUAGUUCUUUUUAGUUGGAACUUUAGGCGGUUCUCGAAAAAAGAUAGCAAAAAUUUUUUUCCCUAAAGUCGAUACUAAGAGGAAUGUAUAAACCAAUGCUUCCAUAGAUUCGAUCGUGGUUUACAAUUAUAGCUUUCAUACCUGUUUGUUUCUUUUUAUUUUCUUUUUUAUCAUCUUCCAGAUAAAGAACGAACAAGAGUAAAAAUGAAGUUGAUUCAAAUAAAGAUUUCACUGGUAUCCUAUGUCAAUAAAAGUAAAAGAAAGAAAAUAAGGGAAAAAGAAAGAUACCAAAGCAAUGUUGUAUCAGGCUCCCUAUCUUUUUGUAGUUGGAUCUCCAAGUUUUUGGAAUGCCCCAAAUUCGACUUGAGCAUCUAAAUCUGGGUCAAUACCAGCAAAAACAUCUCUGAACAAGGUUCUAGCACCAUGCCAAAUGUGUCCGAAGAAGAAGAGCAAAGCAAACGAAGCAUGCCCAAAAGUAAACCAACCCCUUGGACUGCUACGAAAAACACCAUCAAAUUUCAAAGUAGCACUAUCUAAUUCAAAAAUUUCACCCAAUUGAGGACGUCUAGCAUAUUUUUUCAUAGUAGCAGGAUCACUAUAACUGACGCCAUUGAGUUCACCGCCAUGGAACUCAAUAGUUACACCUACUUGUUCAACACUAUACUUCAAUUCUGCCCUUCUAAAAUGAACAUCGGCCCUAACAAUUCCAUCACCAUCUACUAAAACAACCAAAAAUGUUUCAAAAAAGUAGGCAUACGACGUACAAAAAGUUCACGCCCUUCUUUAUUCUAAAGAUAGGGUGUCCUAACCAUCCAACUGCUAUUCCAUCCCCGUUAUCCAUUGAACCUACUUUGAAUAAUCCUCCUUUUGCUGGAUUAUUGCCGAUGUAAUCAUAAAAAGCUAAUUUUUCAGGAAUUCUAGACUAGGCUCCUGAUAAACUUUGACUUUUUACUAGCCCAGCACUAACUCUUUGAUAUAUUUCUUGCUGGAAGUACCCCUGAUCCUAUUAAUAUCGAGUGGGCACAAAUAAUUCAAUCGGGGUAGUUGCCGAACCAUACCACAUAGUUUCGGCAACAACAAAAGCUGUAAAAAAGACAGCAGCAAUACUACUGGAAAGGACGGUUUCAAUAUUUCCCAUACAUAAUCCUUUGUAUAGACGUUGUGUUGGAUGGACGCUAAAAUGGAAUAGGCCUGCUAAUAUGCCCAAUGUUCCUACUGCAAUGUGAUGAGAGGCUAUUCCUCCUGGAACAAAAGGAUCAAAACCUUCCACGCCCCACGCUGGAUUUACAGGUUGUACUUUUUCCGUUAGUCCAUAAGGAUCGGACACCCAUAUUUUGAGACUAUACAAGCCUGUUACAUGAAAUGCACCAAAACCAAAGAAAGCUACCCCUGAGAGAAAUAAAUGAAUUCCAAAGAGGGUUUUCCUGUACGUUUAUCACAAAAUAUUUCUAGAUCCCAAUACACCCAAUGCUAGAUAGCUGCCAAAAAGCAUAAGCCAAAAAACACAAUAUGUGCUCCUGCUACACCUUCAUAACUCCAAAUACCCGAAUUCGUUAUAGUCCCCCCUGUGAUACUCCAACCGCCUCAUGAAUUGGUUAUUCCUAAAUGAGUCAUGAAGGGUAUAACGAACAUAACCUAUCUCCAUAUUAGAUCAAUAACAGGAUCAGAAAGAUUAAAAACCGCUAAUUCAUACAGAGCCAUCGAACUGGCCCAACCAGCAACCAGAGUUGUAUGCAUUAUAUUAACAGAAAGUAAUCAACCGGGAUCAUUUAAUACAAUGGUACGAACAUGAUACCAAGGCAAACCCAUGGAAAUACCUCUUAUAUCAAAGAUAAAUGGACACUACGUAACUUUAUUGCAUUGGAAAAGACUAUAAUAUGACUAUCCUAUGGACCACUCUUGUUCAGUCGAUUAUUUCUGAAUCAAGGGUGUUCUAUUCUAGUGUUAAUAAUGGAACAAUUCUAUUUGUAGGAACAAAGAGAAGUAGAUUUAUUAAAUACUCGAUAAGUACCAAUACACAAUGGGGGAGUUGAUCUCAUUUUCUAUGAGAGAAUGAGUCCAUACAUAUUUAUCAUUAGAAAGACCUAUACAUAAUAAUUUGAGUUUAUUCAUUCUAUCUUUAUUUAUGAAUUUUUAGAAUCUAUGGAUAAAAUAAAUAUGAUAAGAACCAAUAUGAAUAUUCUAAAGACAAUAAAAAAAUUGUUACGUUUCCACCUCAAAGUGAAAUAUAGUAUUUAGUUCUUUCUUUUAUUUAAUGCCUAUUGGUGUUCCGAAAGUUCCCUUCCGAGGUCCUGGAGAGGCAAAUCCACUUUGGGUUGACGUAUAGUAUGACUUGUCAGAUAUAUUGGGUCAUAUGGUAUUUCCCCGUUCUCUCCCCCGAUCAAGAUAUCCCCCGUUUUGCCCAAAAAUGAUAAAACGAUAAAUUGAAUCAUAAAAAAUUUGGAGCGUGAAGUGCAAUUAGAUCCAUUUUUUAGGGGAUUCAUAUUACUAUUAUCAAUUAGAAUAAUUUAUGGUUGGUUUGGUUGGACUAAAAAAAUGAAGUAUCUAGGCUCCGUUUAGAAAAAACCUAAUUGGAUUGGUAAGAUAUCUAUGAUUGCUAUUCAUAUUUUUUCUUUGUAAUUUGUAAAGAGAUCCUAAUUGUCAAGCAAAGUUAUCUCAACUCUAAUAAAUACUUGUAUAAAAUAAAUUGAAAAAAAAAAAGAAAUACAAAAAGAAAUGGUAAUGGGAGCAUUUGUCCUAUAUGUACAAAUCCAAAUCGGGCGGAUCUUUACCCGGAGUAGAGCAUAAACCUAAAAAGAUGAAACAGACCCAUUCAGGAACAAGAAAAUACCAUCGCGGUUUGGAUUAAAUCUCGAUGAAAGAAUACAUCAAUGAGAAGUUAAUUCGAUAAGUUUAAUGACCCUUUCUUAUAACUUCUAAUUUUAUACUGGAAAAUCGAAAAUAGAAAUAUAAAAAAGGAGUCAAAACUCCUCUUUAUUGAAAA
rnacentral:lncRNA from 1 species